rnacentral:rRNA from 1 species
GUGCCAGCAGCCGCGGUAAUACGUAGGUGGCAAGCGUUAUCCGGAAUUAUUGGGCGUAAAGCGCGCGUAGGCGGUUUUUUAAGUCUGAUGUGAAAGCCCACGGCUCAACCGUGGAGGGUCAUUGGAAACUGGAAAACUUGAGUGCAGAAGAGGAAAGUGGAAUUCCAUGUGUAGCGGUGAAAUGCGCAGAGAUAUGGAGGAACACCAGUGGCGAAGGCGACUUUCUGNGUCUGUAACUGACGCUGAUGUGCGAAAGCGUGGGGAUCAAACAGGAUUAGA